rnacentral:rRNA from 1 species
GAUGAAGGCCUUCGGGUCGUAAAACUCUGUCCUCAAGGAAGAUAAUGACGGUACUUGAGGAGGAAGCCCCGGCUAACUACGUGCCAGCAGCCGCGGUAAUACGUAGGGGGCUAGCGUUAUCCGGAUUUACUGGGCGUACAGGGUGCGUAGGCGGUCUUUCAAGUCAGGAGUGAAAGGCUACGGCUCAACCGUAGUAAGCUCUUGAAACUGGGAGACUUGAGUGCAGGAGAGGAGAGUGGAAUUCCUAGUGUAGCGGUGAAAUGCGU